AAUUCGUUAUCGUCCCCACCACAGUGCUCCAGAGUCUUCGAGCAAGGGCUACAACAAUGGAGUUGCCAACCGAGGUGGCGACGGCCGUCGCUCGUUCCGCCGUGCGCUGUGCUCGACGUGGCACUCGAUGCCGUCGACGACCUCGGAGGCAUCCUUUCCUUUCGGCUAUCGUGCCUCCGGCGCCUCUCCCCGCGUCGCCGAACCUAAGUUUUCUCUUUCGCGACGGUACCUGAAAUGAGUCUUCUAGAACUGUGGGGACGUGGAGGAACACUUGAUUUGGCCAUGCGACAGGGGCAUAUACCCUUUAGAGCUUAUAUUGUCUCCCUUUUUGUCGCACAUUAAAAUAGACUUCUGUUCUUGUAUUGCUAAUAUUGUAUAUUCAUGAAAAGACAAACCCGCUUCUUGAUACAUAUAAGCUAACCUUGUAAACACAAAGCAGGGAAACAUUAUUGUUAGCAGCUGCAUGUUUUAAAUCAUGGGUGCUGAUUGGGGCAUGCUUACUUUAAUUAACCUAUUCAAACAUGUUCUUGGUUUGUUUCUCCUCUCAUGCUAGCUGAUGAUGUGUUUGCUUCCAAACGUAUCGAUGCUUAUUGAGAUGAUUUAUCAUCCUAUCUAUUAGUUCGAUAAAAAGUAAAUCAUACACAUGUGUGUGUUUAUGUCUAUGCAUAUGCAUGUGUAUGCAUAUAGAUACUAUUCACUGCUCUUUGACUAUUUUACAAUGAGGAAUGCUACAGACCCAAGCAUGGUACCCAGAAAGGAGGCACCAUGUGACAUAAUGAGAUUGUGUAGUUUGGGAUGUCAGUGCCAUACGCAGCAGGUCCCUGAUGCAAGGAACCAAUCCCUUUCCAACAUGUGGCCCGACGCUUUUUCUUUGUACCAGGUGCUCAACCUGGCAUAAGAGUUUCUAAAUCGUGCUGGUAACGAGUGGACACGGAAUGUGUGACGGUACCGGUCAAGAACUCAUAUCUAUCACAUUGUAAACCUACACAAGUCAUCCUCCAUAAAUGACCGAAGACAGACAAACCCAGAUCUAAGAACUAAUAUCAUCACCUUUUGUUUUCCCCAAAACACUAAUUGCCUCUGCUCGUGUCCGGUCAUAGAAGAUGGCCAAUCUCCUCCUCGAAGUGAACUUGUUAAUACGGACCUCCACUGUUUCGUUGCUCCAAAUCUAGUUCUUUUGAAGAGCAACUGAAGCAGAACCUCUCAAUUCCCACGUUUCGGCCACCCAAAAUUUUUAAAUUUUCCUUCAUUCAUUUACAGGACUACAUAACCACAGAUAGCUGUAGGAUGCCGCUCGCUGUUUACAAGAGCCUGAUUAUGUACGGUGGGGAGAAUCAAAAGAAAUACGAGCGUGCACGUCCAUAUGUUGAUUGACACGGUAGUGAUGAAUCAUGGAUAUUCGUGGAUCUGGUGAUACUGCAUCUCAAAGCUGCGUGGGGAAGGGAAUGGUAUACUUUGAUUGUACUGAAUUAUAGACUAUUUGUAUAUUUUAUUUGGGGGGGGGGGGGGUCUGGAAAGGAAAUCGAACUGGAUUGGAAUCGAAA